UAGGAAUCUGCCUAGUAGUGGGGGACAACCUGGUGAAAACCAGGCUAAUACCGCAUACGACCUACGGGUGAAAGCAGGGGAUCUUCGGACCUUGCGCUAUUAGAUGAGCCUAUGUCUGAUUAGCUAGUUGGUGAGGUAAUGGCUCACCAAGGCCGCGAUCAGUAGCUGGUCUGAGAGGAUGAUCAGCCACACUGGGACUGAGACACGGCCCAG
rnacentral:rRNA from 1 species